AGACAGGCAAGAUCUGGGGAAGGAACAUCCAGGCAGAGCGGACAGGCUGUCCAAGAGGGCGUCCAAGGAGCAGAAGGAAGGAGUUUGUUUAAAAUCUGUAUGAGCAACUUGAGAAGAUAAUUUCGGCUUUGCUACUUGCAUUCUUCCUAUUGCCCACCAGAGGGCACUCAAGCACCCGCCAGGCGGAGUUCCCUAACCCGUGGAUUCCUCAACCGCACCCAGCAUCUUCCCAGGCUGGAGCUGAGUUAGAACAAGGGAAAGUUGACCCGCUAAGUGUCUUCUGAAAGGGCCAUCUAAAUGGUGUCAAGAGAAGCCGCCGCCUGUGACUGAGAAAAAUACAAAUGACACUCAUGCGAGCCCAGUAGGAUGUACAGCCACUGCCUCUCUGCGGUCACGUUUGCUGUGUUAUUCACAUUCCCAGAGGAAAAAGCUGUGUGCCUGGCUUUAGCAUUCUUUCCAGCAGUCUUUAUUUCCUCUUCUCGGGCACAUUAGGGAAUGUUUUGUACCUUGUCACA
rnacentral:lncRNA from 1 species